rnacentral:rRNA from 1 species
CAAUAGCAUAUAUUAACGUUGUUGCAGUUGAAAAGCUCGUAGUUGAACUUUUGGUAGGAGCGACCUGGCCUUGGGCGCAUGCCCUUGCUUUGCCGUGUGUCGUAUCUGGCCAUCCUUUUCUUCUUCGGAAGGAAUCUUUUACUGUGAGUAAACUGGAGUGCUCAAAACAAGACGUUUGUUUGGUACAUUAAAGCAUGGAAUAAUAAGAUAGGACCUGGUUACUAUUUUGUUGGUUUGCAUAGCUAGGUAAUGAUUAACAGGGACAGUUGGGGGUAUUCGUAUUUAAUUGUCAGAGGUGAAAUUCUUGGAUUUAUGAAAGACGAACGACUGCGAAAGCAUUUACCAAGGAUGUUUUCAUUAA